rnacentral:rRNA from 1 species
AUUGAACGCUGGCGGCAGGCCUAACACAUGCAAGUCGAACGAAUGUCGGACGGGUGAGUAAUGUCUGGGAAACUGCCCGAUGGAGGGGGAUAACUACUUGAAACGGUAGCUAAUACCGCAUACCAUCGGAUGUGCCCAGAUGGGAUUAGCUAGUGGGUGGGGUAACGGCUCACCUAGGCGACGAUCCCUAGCUGGUCUGAGAGGAUGACCAGCCACACUGGAACUGAGACACGGUCCAGACUCCUACGGGAGGCAGCAGUGGGGAAUAGUGCACAAUGGGCGCAAGCCUGAUGGAGCCACGCCGCGUGUAUGAAGAAGGCCUUCGGGUUGUAAAGUACUUUCAGCGAGGAGGCGUUACUCGAAGAAGAAGCACCGGCUAACUCCGUGCCAGCCGCCGCGGUAAUUC